UACGGAGGGUGCAAGCGUUAUCCGGAAUCACUGGGUUUAAAGGGUGCGUAGGCGGGGAAUUAAGUCAGUGGUGAAUGCCUGUCGCUUAACGAUAGAAUUGCCAUUGAUACUGAUUUUCUUGAAUUGGGUUGAGGUUAGCGGAAUGUGACAUGUAGCGGUGAAAUGCAUAGAUAUGUCAUGGAACACCAAUUGCGAAGGCAGCUAGCUGGGCCUUGAUUGACGCUGAGGCACGAAAGCGUGGGUAGCGAACAGG
rnacentral:rRNA from 1 species